AUGACUGCUAAUACCGCAUAAGCGCACGGUGCUGCAUGGCACAGUGUGAAAAACUCCGGUGGUAUGAGAUGGACCCGCGUCUGAUUAGCUAGUUGGUGGGGUAACGGCCUACCAAGGCGACGAUCAGUAGCCGGCCUGAGAGGGUGAACGGCCACAUUGGGACUGAGACACGGCCCAAACUCCUACGGGAGGCAGCAGUGGGGAAUAUUGCACAAUGGGGGAAACCCUGAUGCAGCGACGCCGCGUGAGCGAAGAAGUAUUUCGGUAUGUAAAGCUCUAUCAGCAGGGAAGAAAUAGGACGGUACCUGACUAAGAAGCACCGGCUAAAUACGUGCCAGCAGCCGCGGUAAUACGUAUGGUGCAAGCGUUAUCCGGAUUUACUGGGUGUAAAGGGAGCGUAGACGGUUGUGUAAGUCUGAUGUGAAAGCCCGGGGCUCAACCCCGGGACUGCAUUGGAAACUAUGUAACUAGAGUGUCGGAGAGGUAAGCGGAAUUCCUAGUGUAGCGGUGAAAUGCGUAGAUAUUAGGAGGAACACCAGUGGCGAAGGCGGCUUACUGGACGAUCACUGACGUU
rnacentral:rRNA from 1 species